GUGUGAGGAGUGAGCCGCAUGGACCCCCGGGGAGCAGGUGCAUGUGGGAGUCACAGCAGGGGCAGGUGGCAGAGACAGGUCAGAGCAGUGACAAGAGGCUGGUGUGAGUGGAGACGAGUGAGCUGGGCUGAGAGUGGCGGGAUGAGGCCACAGGGGUCCUAUGAUGAGGGGCUUGUAGGAAACGGUGAGAGACUGAGGUUUCAUUGUGCCUAAGAAAGAAAAGGGCUGAGGUGUUCAUAGGAUAUGUCCUAAUUCCCAUUUGAGAGGCUCACUCUGCCUCUGUGUGAGUAAUGGACAGUGGGCAUGAGAGGCAGCAGGCAGCCCAGCUGGAAAGCCCUUCUGGUUUACAAUUCUUGAGUGGGUGGCUCUGGGGUGGUGCCAGGAGAGGAGUGAAAAGUGAUUGGAUUUAGUGUUGAUAUACUUGUUAAUAUUGUGGCAAAACAUACAUACCAUGUAAUUUAGCUUCUAACCACUUUUUUCAGUGUACAAUUCGGUGGCCUAAAGCACAUUUACAAUGUUGUGUGACCACCACCAAUAUGCAUUUCCAGAACAUUUUCAUCAUCCCAACAGAAACUGGAUCCAUUAAACCAAAGCUGUCCAUUCUCCCUACCCUCAAACUCUGGUGGUGCCAAAAAUGAAGAAGGAAGCUCCUGCCCCUCCUAAAGCCAAAGCCAAAGUGAAGGCUUUGCAAGGCCAAGAAGGCGGUGGUGAAAGAUGUCCACAGCCACAGUAAAACAGAAGAUCCACACAUCACCCACCUUCCAGCGGCCCAAGAUGAUGUGACUCUGGAGGCAGCCCAAAUAUCCUUGGAAGAGCCCCGCAGGAGAAAUAAGCUUGACCACCGUGCUAUCAUCAAGUUUCCGCUGACCGCUGAGUCCACCAUGAAGAAGAUAGAAGACAACAAAACACUUAUAUUCAUGGUGGAUGUUAAAGCCAACAAGCACCAGAUCAAACAGGCUGUGAAGAAGCUCUGUGACAUUGAUGUGGCCAAGGUCAACACCCUGAUUCAGUCUGAUGGAGAUAAGAAGGCAUGUGUUUGACUGGCUCCUGACUAUGAUGCUUUGGUUGUUGCCAACAAAAUUGGGAUCAACUAAACUGAGUCCAGCUGGCUAAUUCUAAAUAUAUGUAUAUCUUUUUACCAUAAAAAAAUUAAUCUCUUUACUCACUCUGUCUCUACACACACACACACUUACAUACAUGCUAUACAAACAUAUCUACCUGUAUCUAUAAAAAGAUACAUUUUUAUUUUUUAUUUUUUUAAUUUGUGUAUGUUCAUGAGGCACAAGUGCAAUUCGGCCACAUUGAUAUAUUGUGUUGCAGUAAAGUCAGAGCCUUUGGUGCAUCCAUCACUGGGGCAAUGUACUGGGCACAUUGUACCCACCAAGCAACCCCUCCCCUCAUACACUCCCUACCAACCACCCCUACCCUUCCGAGUCUCCAUUGUCCACCAUUCCAUACCCUACUUACAUGUAUAUAGAGAUAUUAAGCAAAUAUGCACAAUGAUAACUGUCAAAUUUUACUGCACUAUUCUUUCAGCUUUUCUGUACAUCUGAAAAUUUAUAUAAGUUGGAACAAUAAGGGAGAGAGAGAGAGAGCCGAAUCUGAAUAGGUUAGGGGUUGUGUCCCACUAGAGAACAUAACUGACCUUUGUGAUUCUCAAAGUGUGGUCCUCUGAGCUGCCUUCAGAGAGUCCAGGAGGGAAACUUGUUUUCACAGUAAUACCAAGAUGCCACCUGCCUAUUUCAUUAUGUUGACUUUUUCAUUAAUGCUGCAAAUGCCAAGGUCGGUAACACACCCAGCACCUUAGCUGAACCAAGGCGGUGGCUCCAGACUGCAUUCUCACUUAAGGAUAUCUUUGAUGGAGCAGGAAAAGUUCUACUUCCACUACAGUUUGAUCCUUGAUUACAUACCUUUUUAAUAUUCUUUGUGAGAAAAUGGGAAGUAUGCAUAAAACACUUAUUGCACAAUGGUAAUCUUGAGGAAGGACACUUGUGUGGCUGAGUUAUGAGUUCGACCAGCAGAUCUUCUCAUUCACCCACUGAAAGACAUUUGCAUUAUUUCCAGUUUGGAACUAUAAUGAAUAAAGCCGCUAUGAAUAUUUGUGUACAGGUUUUGCUGUGAACAUAAAGUUUUCCCUUGUUUGGGAUAAGCACCCAGAAGGGCAAUUGCUGGUCAUAUGAUAAUUUCAUGUUCAUUUCCAGAGUGGCUGUACCAUUUCACAUUCCUACCAGAAAUAUUUGAGUGGUCCAGUUCCUUUGCAACCUUGCCAGCAUCUUAUGUGAACUUUAUUUUGUAUUUCAGCCAUUCUUACAGGUGUAUAGUGAUAUCUCAUUGUGAUUUUAAUCUGUAUUUCCUUAAUGACUAAUGAUGUUGAGCAUCUUUUCAUGGGCUUCUUAGCCUUGUGUUUAUCCUCUUCAGAGAAACGUCUGUUCAUGUCUUGCUCAUUGCCUAUUUUGUAUUUGGAUUUCAUUUUUAUUGUUGAGUUUUUAAAUUUCUUUGUAUAUUCUGAAUGCAAGCCUUUACAGAAUUUGUUGUUUGCAAAUAUCUUCUCUCAUUCUGUAGCUUGUCUUUUUAUGCUCUUCAUAGGUCUCUCACAGAGCAACAGUUUUGAAUUCGAUAAGAGCCUAUUUAUUAACUUUUUCUUUUAUGGAUAAUACUUUUGGUGUUAUGUCUAAGAACUGUUUGUCCAGUUUUAGUUCUGAUGAUUUUUUCUUAAGAGGUUUAUAAUUUUAAAUUUUUAAUUAAUUAAUUAAUUAUUUUAGAAAAAACAUCUUGCCCAGGCUGGCCUUGAACUCCUGGGCUCAAGGGAUCCUCCCACCUCAGCCUCAGAAGUAGCUGAGAGUACAGGCCUGUGACACCAUGCCUGGCUUAAUGUUUGUCAUUUUAAAUAUAUGUUUUACAUUGAAGCCUGUGAUCCGUUUUGAGUUAUUCUUUGUAUAAGGUGUGAGGUUUGGGCCAGGUUGUUUUUUAAUUUUUCUACUGUGGUGCUCCAGCACCAUUUGUUGGGAAAGCUCUCCUUCCUUCUUUGAAUUGCUUUUGUGCUUUUGUAAAAGUCAGUUGAGCAUAUUUGUGUGUUUUGCUCAUUUUUAGUUGAGAUGUUCAUCUUUUUAUAUCAAGUUUAAGAACUUGUCACUUAUUCUAGAUACAAGUUCUUCAUCAAAAAUGUGAUUUGUGAUGAAUUGUGAAAUAUUUUCUCCCAGUCUAUGGCUUGUGUUCUCAUUUUCUUAAUGGUGUCUUUUGGAGCACUAAAGUUUCAAAUUUUAACUAAGCCCAAUUUAUCUUUUCUUUUUUCAUUUGUAGAUCAUGCUUGUGAUAUGUUACUUAAGAAUCUUUUGCCUAAUCAGCCAAAGUAAGAACAAUUUUCUCCUAUAUUUUCUUAUAGAAAGUUUAUACUUUAAACUCAUAUAUUUUAGCUUUUUAAUUUGAGUUGAUAUUUUAUAUGGUAUGAGAUGUCUAAAUCCACCUCUUUUUGUUUCUUUUAUCAUUUUGCCCACCUGAUCAGAGCUAACUACAGCUUCAACUCUUGGGCUCAAGUGAUUUUCUUGCCUCAGUCUCCUAAAGCACUGGGAUUAUAGGCACAAACCACUGAACACUGCCAUCUCUUUUUACAUUUAGUUGUCCAGCUGUGUCUAAACCAUUUGUUUAAAAGACUAUUAUUUCCCCAUUGAAUUACCUAGGCAACUUUGUUGGAUGUCAAUUGAAAAAAAUGUAAGAAUGUCUUUCUAGAUUCUCACUUCUGUUCAUUUAUCUCUAUGUCUGUGAGUUCUACACUAUCUGGAUUAUUAUAGUUUUAUAUUAUAUUCCAAUUUUUUUUCAAAUUUAUGUUGGCUCUUCUGCAUCUUUUCCAUUUUCAUGAGCAUUUUAGAAUUAUUUUGUCAAUUUCUGUAAAAUGCCUGCUGGGAUUUCGAUAGAGAUUGUGCUGAAUCCAUAGAUCGAUUUGUGGAGCAUUGCCAUUUUAACAAUAUUAUUGAGCUUUCCAACCCUCACCUCUCCAUUUAUUUAGACCAUUCAUUUCUCUCAGUACUGUUUUGUACUUUUCAGUGUACAAACACUGCCCUCUUCCUAAAUUUAUAAUUUAUUCCUAUUUCAUGAUUUUUAUAACUACUGUGAAAAGAAAUUCUAGAUUUUCAUUGCUGGUAUAGAGAAAUAAAAUUGACUUUUGUAUAUUGCUUUUAUAUCCUAUGGGCUCUUCUGAACUCUUUUCUUAGUGCUACAGGCUUUUAUCUGCAUAUGAAUUCUACAGGCAGGAUCAUGUGAACAGAAUUUUAUGUUUUCUUUUUUGAUAUGAAUGACUUUAAUUUUUUAUUUUUCGUUUUUUGCUGUAUUGUAUUGGCUAGAAUCUCUAGUACAAUGUUAAAUAGAAGUGAUGAGAGUGGACAUCUUUGCUUUGAUUCCCAUCUUAGGAGGAAAGCAUUCCGUCUUUCAUCAUUAUGCAUGAUUUUAGCUGUGAGUUUUUCACAGAUGUCCUUUAUCGAGUGAAGAAGGUCCCUCCAUUCCUAUUUUGUUGAAAGUUGUGAACAUGAAUGGUGUUAAGAUUUUUGUCAACUGUUUCUUCUGCAUCUAUUCAGAUAAUUAUAUUGCUCUGGUCCUUUGUUCUAUUAAUAUGGUGCAUUACAUUAAUUGAUUUCCAAAUGUUAAGCCAACCUUGUAUUCCUGGGAUGAAUUCCAUUGGUCAUGAAUUGUAAUCCUUUUUAUAUGGUAUUGUAUUCAGUUUGCCAAUGUUUGUUAAGGAUGUUUGCAUUUAUGUUCAUUGGU